rnacentral:rRNA from 1 species
UACGUAGGGCGCAAGCGUUGUCCGGAAUUAUUGGGCGUAAAGAGCUCGUAGGCGGCUUGUCGCGUCGAUUGUGAAAGCCCGGGGCUUAACUCCGGGUCUGCAGUCGAUACGGGCAGGCUAGAGUGUGGUAGGGGAGAUCGGAAUUCCUGGUGUAGCGGUGAAAUGCGCAGAUAUCAGGAGGAACACCGGUGGCGAAGGCGGAUCUCUGGGCCAUAACUGACGCUGAGAAGCGAAAGCAUGGGGAGCGAACAGG